rnacentral:rRNA from 1 species
UACGUAGGGUGCAGGCGUUAAUCGGAAUUACUGGGCGUAAAGCGUGCGCAGGCGGUUUGUUAAGACAGAUGUGAAAUCCCCGGGCUUAACCUGGGAACUGCGUUUGAAACUACAAGGCUAGAGUGUGGCAGAGGGGGGUGGAAUUCCGCGUGUAGCAGUGAAAUGCGUAGAUAUGUGGAGGAACACCGAUGGCGAAGGCAGCCCCCUGGGUCAACACUGACGCUCAGGCACGAAAGCAUGGGGAGCAAACAGG